AUUGAACGCUGGCGGCAGGCUUAACACAUGCAAGUCGAGCGGGGAAAGGUAGCUUGCUACCUGACCUAGCGGCGGACGGGUGAGUAAUGCUUAGGAAUCUGCCUAUUAGUGGGGGACAACAUCUCGAAAGGGAUGCUAAUACCGCAUACGUCCUACGGGAGAAAGCAGGGGACCUUCGGGCCUUGCGCUAAUAGAUGAGCCUAAGUCGGAUUAGCUAGUUGGUGGGGUAAAGGCCUACCAAGGCGACGAUCUGUAGCGGGUCUGAGAGGAUGAUCCGCCAACCUGGGAACGGGACCCGGCUCAGGCUUCUUACGGGAGGCAGCGUGGGGGAAUAUUGACCAUGGGGGGAACGCCGGUCCCGGCAAGCCGGGGGGGUGGAGGAAGGCCUUCGGUUGUUAAACACCUUAAGCGAGGAGGAGACGACCGUGAGUAAUACUCUUGGAUAGUGGACGUUACUCGCAGAAUAAGCACCGGCUAACUCUGUG
rnacentral:rRNA from 1 species